UACGGGGGGGGCAAGCGUUGUUCGGAAUUACUGGGCGUAAAGGGCUCGUAGGCGGCCAACUAAGUCAGACGUGAAAUCCCCAGGCUCAACCUGGGAACUGCGUCUGAUACUGGAUGGCUUGAAUUCGGGAGAGGGAUGCAGAAUUCCAGGUGUAGCGGUGAAAUGCGUAGAUAUCUGGAGGAAUACCGGUGGCGAAGGCGGCUCGCUGGCUCAUUUCUGACGCUGAGGUGCGAAAGCGUGGGGAGCAAACAGG
rnacentral:rRNA from 1 species